rnacentral:rRNA from 1 species
UACGAAGGGUGCAAGCGUUACUCGGAAUUACUGGGCGUAAAGCGUGCGUAGGCGGUUUGUUAAGUCCGCUGUGAAAGCCCUGGGCUCAACCUGGGAAUUGCAGUGGAUACUGGCAAGCUAGAGUGCGGUAGAGGAUGGUGGAAUUCCCGGUGUAGCGGUGAAAUGCGUAGAUAUCGUUUGGAACGCCAAUGGUGAAAACAGACAGCUGGGAGUGUGCUGACGCUGAGACACGAAAGCCAGGGGAGCGAACGGG